GAACGCAUCAUUUAAAAAAAAAAUGGUUGCGAAUCUCGCUAAGCUGCCGUGUCCGUGGAUCUGUGACGUUUCUCGGCUUAAGACGGUUCUCGGGACUCGGUGGUUCAGAAACGUGAUCCCGGUUCACUCGGACCGGCUGAUCCGCCAUGGCUGCUGCUGCUGCUGGUACCCUGUCCCCCGGAAACUGUUUCAGGAUCCGGGCUGAGCAGAGCGACACGGCCGGGGAGGAGUUCCGCUGCCACAAAACAUCUAAUAAUAAAAACGUUCUCAUCUAAA